rnacentral:rRNA from 1 species
GAUGAACGCUGGCGGCGUGCCUAAUACAUGCAAGUCGAGCGAACAGACGAGGAUCUUGCUCCUCUGACGUUAGCGGCGGACGGGUGAGUAACACGUGGAUAACCUACCUAUAAGACUGGGAUAACUUCGGGAAACCGGAGCUAAUACCGGAUAAUAUAUUGAACCGCAUGGUUCAAUAGUGAAAGACGGUUUUGCUGUCACUUAUAGAUGUAUCCGCGCCGCAUUAGCUAGUUGGUAAGGUAACGGCUUACCAAGGCAACGAUGCGUAGCCGACCUGAGAGGGUGAUCGGACACACUGGAACUGAGACACGGUCCAGACUCCUACGGGAGGCAGCAGUAGGGAAUAUUCCGCAAUGGGCGAAAGCCUGACGGAGCAACGCCGCGUGAGUGAUGAAGGUCUUCGGAUCGUAAAACUCUGUUAUUAGGGAAGAACAAAAGUGUAAGUAACUAUGCACGUCUUGACGGUACCAAAUCAGAAAGCAACGGCUAACUACGUG